CCUACGGGGGGCAGCAGUGGGGAAUAUUGCACAAUGGGCGCAAGCCUGAUGCAGCCAUGCCGCGUGUGUGAAGAAGGCCUUCGGGUUGUAAAGCACUUUCAGCGGGGAGGAAGGCGUUAAGGUUAAUAACCUUGGCGAUUGACGUUACCCGCAGAAGAAGCACCGGCUAACUCCGUGCCAGCAGCCGCGGUAAUACGGAGGGUGCAAGCGUUAAUCGGAAUUACUGGGCGUAAAGCGCACGCAGGCGGUCUGUCAAGUCGGAUGUGAAAUCCCCGGGCUCAACCUGGGAACUGCAUUCGAAACUGGCAGGCUAGAGUCUUGUAGAGGGGGGUAGAAUUCCAGGUGUAGCGGUGAAACGCGUAGAGAUCUGGAGGAAUACCGGUGGCGAAGGCGGCCCCCUGGACAAAGACUGACGCUCAGGUGCGAAAGCGUGGGGAGCAAACAGGAUUAGAUACCCGUGUAGUC
rnacentral:rRNA from 1 species